UCCUCUUUACAGAGGCAGUUUGUUCCGAGUUCCCGGCAUUACCCGCUGGCAACAGAACAUGAGGGUUGCGCUCGUUGCGGGACUUAACCCAACAUUUCACAACACGAGCUGACGACAGCCAUGCACCACCUGUGAAUCACCUUCGAAAGCGACUCGCUUUCACGAGCUUGCAGAUCCAUGUCAAGCCCUGGUAAGGUUCUUCGCGUUGCAUCGAAUUAAGCCAUAUGCUCCACCGCUUGUGCGGGCCCCCGCCAAUUCCUUUGAGUUUUAAUCUUGCGAUCGUAGUUCCCAGGCGGUUCACUUAAUGCGUUAGCUGCGCCACUGACGGGCAAGCCCGCCAACAGCUGGCAUUCAUCGUUUACGGCGUGGACUAC
rnacentral:misc_RNA from 1 species